rnacentral:rRNA from 1 species
UUGUCUCAAAGAUUAAGCCAUGCAUGUCUCAGUACAAGCCGCACUAAGGUGAAACCGCGAAAGGCUCAUUAAAUCAGUUAUGGUUCCUUAGAUCGUACCCACACUUACUUGGAUAACUGUGGUAAUUCUAGAGCUAAUACAUGCAAACAGAGCUCCGACCGGAGACGGGAGGAGUGCUUUUAUUAGAUCAAAACCAAUCGGCGGCGGCGGCGUUCGCGCCGUCGCCGUUACCCGCUCAACCUGGUGACUCUGAAUAACUUUCCGCUGAUCGCACGGUCUCGCACCGGCGACGCAUCUUUCAAAUGUCUGCCUUAUCAACUGUCGAUGGUAGGUUCUGCGCCUACCAUGGUCGUAACGGGUAACGGGGAAUCAGGGUUCGAUUCCGGAGAGGGAGCCUGAGAAACGGCUACCACAUCCAAGGAAGGCAGCAGGCGCGCAAAUUACCCACUCCCGGCACGGGGAGGUAGUGACGAAAAAUAACGAUACGGGACUCAUCCGAGGCCCCGUAAUCGGAAUGAGUACACUUUAAAUCCUUUAACGAGGACCAAUUGGAGGGCAAGUCUGGUGCCAGCAGCCGCGGUAACUCCAGCUCCAAUAGCGUA